rnacentral:lncRNA from 1 species
AUUAAUCCGCAAUUUUAAAAUUCAUCGUUGCUAGCAAAGCCGCUACACACAAGUUCUAUCACUUUAUCUGAUUAUGACAUAUUUCCAGUGACAGCACUUUCAACCAAUCAGCUGGACAUUAUCAAGAAAUCCCAGACAGCAAAACAGUUGAACCAUUCAUUGUUACCACAUUACAGGAGAAAAACCAAGCUGUACUCAUCCUGAGACCACAUUACUUAACAAAUUUCAAUAGAUAUGGCCAUAACCAUUACUUACCAAAUUUCAAUAGAUAUGGGCCAUAACCCUAAAGCCUUGCUUGGAUUGCCAUUUUCAAAUACAGACGCAUUUAUUUUACACCUGUAUUUUACCGGUCACUAGUAUAUUUCUAGCUGAAAACAAAACGGUGGGCAGAGAUCUGUAUUUUUUUUACAGGGGUAUUUGAGACGAAAACGGCAAUCCAACCAAGGCUUAAGAGGUAAAAAGAAUACAUCAGCAGGCACUCUUGCAACACCUUAGUAUUUUUACAAUCUUUCCAGAAGCUUCUUUGCCUCCGCAAUGCUAAUUCAAGUUCCAUCGUCGCUGUGCACAGGAUUAGCAAGGGCAUAUGCAUAGAAUAAACUAGAGACUACCAAGUUAAUAUGAUUUUAUUUUUCAGAUGCAGAUAUUAAUGUAUGAUGGGUUAGGAUAGGCUAAUCCAGCCUAACUAGUUGUUGACAAGCUGACAGAUGCACAGGUGGUGCGACUAAAAAAUACAAUAAAAUUUGCUCCCUCUGUAAAGUAAUAUAAGAGCGUUUAGAGCACUAAAGUAGUGACCUAACCGCUCUUACAUUACUUUAGGAAAGUAGUAGUAAUAAAGAGCACUUCUCCACCUUACUAGUAAUAAUCAUAUGUUAACACUACUAACAAACCAUAAUCCACAUAAUGAUUAAUACACUCUUAAUUCCCGAACCUGAACCUGAACCUGCAAAAUAUAUACAAUAAAAAUUGCAUCUAGGCCAGGCUUAGGUGAUAUCUUGAAUUAUUGAGUAGGAAAUCAAGAUAUUUACUGUCAAAAUCAAAAUGCACAUACAUCAUGAAUGGAGGCAAUUCUAGAUACCUAGCUGAGCAGAAGAUUAUCAACUACAAAACCUGACCUUAGCGAUGCUUUCCAAGGCUUCCAAGCCAUCAAAACCUUUGAACACCUUUCAAGUUUUCAUUUACAAACCCUGGCUACAGCACAAUUGAUCCGUUACUUAUAAAUGACAACAAAAGAGAGAGAUGGCUAUCAAUGCAUUUCCAUUCGAAAUGUUCGCAUGAAAGGAUGCAGUUUCGAUAGUACAUUAGUUAAGUGCCUAGCUGAGCAGAAGAUUAUCAAAUACUGGAGCAGACCUUGCCAUGCUUUACAAGGCUUCCAAGCCAAACUUAUUUGAUCAAAACCUUUCAGCAUUUUUCAUUCAAAAACUCAGGCUACAGCAGAAUUGACCCUUGACUUACAAAUGGCAACAAAAGAGAGAAAUGGUUGACGAAGCUAGAUAACAAAUGUUUGUACUAAUUUAUUUUGAAAAGGUACAAUAAGGUUCAUAGUAGAAUGCUCUGCUGCAGGCUUUUCGUGAAUGCUCUGCUGCAGGCUUUUCGUGAAUGCUCUGCUGCAGGCAUUUCGUCUGCAACAGCUGACCAAGAGGAUGUGCUGGAAACCGGCAUGCCUUUGAGAAUGGUCUUGCAUUCACGGAAUACAGACAUGCCAUUGACAAUCAUCUUGCAUUCACAGAAUAAGAAACGAUAUUUCAAUGAGCUGUCCAGUAAAAUACUCCCUCCGUCCCAUAAUAUAAGAGCGUUUUGCAAGCUAUGUUAGCUUGCAAAACGCUCUUAUAUUGUGAGAUAGGAGGGAAUAUUUACCAUGCUGUAACUGAUAACUAGAGAUGAAGUGCCACUAAAGAAGUUUGAUACCAUCAACCUUCGAACUAAAACUGUGACACUUACUUUGGAACGGAGAGGGUAGAAAAGAAGUAUAGAAAAUAUCAGAUUGGUACAUGAUUUUUGUUUAGGAAGUGAUGAAGUAUAUGCAUCACAUCAACAUCUCACUUGGCUGAAUCUCACUCAUAUUCCCUUUUCUCUUGUCCGUACCGGCACAAGCCAGCACGCCGCCCAAGUCGCUGGCAGCAAAGACAGAAAUAGCUAACAAGCAGCACCCUCUGAGGCACAACAGUUGCAAGAGCAGGCACUUCAUUUGCACUCAAAACUCGUUUCACCUUGUCCUUGUCUAGGUUAAUUCUGACCACUACAUAAGUUACCAUCUUUGUACAAACUUUGACAGAUCUAAACUUUAUAAAUAAUCCAUAUCUCACAGCAACAGAAUACACCUCGUCGAAAGAACAAAAUAUAUGGAUCUGUGCUAUGAUAUUGCUUAAUACUGAUAAGCAUUUCAUUCAGAAGUGGGACGAAGAAUUCAAUACAAAAGGGUCAUAUAUCUAUAAAAACAGGGCUCUCUUCUCCACCGGUGCCAUUUACUUGAGAGAGCUGUCUCAAUGCAAACAUAAGACAUAUCAACAUCUCACCUUACUGAAUCUCACUCCUAUUCCUUUCUCUGUCCGUACUGGCACAAGCCAGCAUGCCGCCCAAGUCGCAAGCAGCAAAGACAUUUCUCCGUCCGUACCAGCACAAGCCAGCAUGCCGCCCAAGUCGCAAGCAGCCAAGACAGAAAUGCUAGCAGGCAGCCCGAUUAGGCCCAACAGUGGCAAGAGCUAGUACUCCGUUUGCACUUAAAACUUGUUUCACUCCGCCCUUAUGUAGGUUAAUUCUGACCA